CAAGUCGUGGGGCAGCAGGGGUGUAGCAAUACAUCUGCUGGCGACCGGCAAACGGGUGCGUAACACGUACGCAACCUUCCCGUUACUGUGGCAUAGCCCAGGGAAACUUGGAUUAAUACCACAUAUUAUAUUGAGGGGGCAUCCUCUUGAUAUCAAAGCUUCGGCGGUAACGGAUGGGCGUGCGGUUGAUUAGGUAGUUGGCAGGGUAACGGCCCACCAAGCCUACGAUCAAUAGCUGAUGUGAGAGCAUGAUCAGCCACACGGGCACUGAGACACGGGCCCGACUCCUACGGGAGGCAGCAGUAAGGAAUAUUGGGCAAUGGACGAAAGUCUGACCCAGCCAUGCCGCGUGAAGGAUUAAGGUCCUCUGGAUUGUAAACUUCUUUUCUCUGGGGCGAAAAACAGCUAUUCUUAGUUGCUUGACAGUACCAGAGGAAUAAGCACCGGCUAACUCCGUGCCAGCAGCCGCGGUAAUACGGAGGGUGCAAGCGUUAUCCGGAUUCACUGGGUUUAAAGGGUGCGUAGGUGGGCCAGUAAGUCAGUGGUGAAAUCCCCGAGCUUAACUCGGGAACUGCCGUUGAUACUAUUGGUCUUGAAUAUCGUGGAGGUAAGCGGAAUAUGUCAUGUAGCGGUGAAAUGCUUAGAUAUGACAUAGAACACCGAUUGCGAAGGCAGCUUGCUACACGGUCAUUGACACUGAGGCACGAAAGCGUGGGGAUCAAACAGGAUUAGAUACCCUGGUAGUCCACGCCCUAAACUAUGGAUACUCGACAUCAGCGAUACACAGUUGGUGUCUGAGCGAAAGCAUUAAGUAUCCCCACCUGGGAAGUACGAUCGCAAGAUUGAAACUCAAAGGAAUUGGCGG
rnacentral:rRNA from 1 species